GCUGGGUGUGGUGGCUCACACCUGUAAUUCCAGCAUUUUGGGAGGCUGAGGUGGGUGGAUCACCUGAGGUCAGGAGUUCAAGACCAGCCUGGCCAACAUGGUGAAACCCCGUCUCUA
rnacentral:SRP_RNA from 1 species